rnacentral:rRNA from 1 species
UGGGGAAUAUUGCACAAUGGGCGAAAGCCUGAUGCAGCAACGCCGCGUGAGUGAUGAAGGUCUUCGGAUUGUAAAGCUCUGUCUUUUGGGACGAUAAUGACGGUACCAAAGGAGGAAGCCACGGCUAACUACGUGCCAGCAGCCGCGGUAAUACGUAGGUGGCGAGCGUUGUCCGGAUUUACUGGGCGUAAAGGGUGCGUAGGCGGAUGUUUAAGUGAGAUGUGAAAUACCCGGGCUUAACUUGGGUGCUGCAUUUCAAACUGGAUAUCUAGAGUGCAGGAGAGGAGAAUGGAAUUCCUAGUGUAGCGGUGAAAUGCGUAGAGAUUAGGAAGAACACCAGUGGCGAAGGCGAUUCUCUGGACUGUAACUGACGCUGAG